AAAUAUAGUAAUGGACGUGGGAUCUUAUAAAGGAUAACACAAAAAAAAAAAAGAAUGGUUAAAUCUAAGGGUGUGCAAUUGAUUGAUUCGGUUCAAACUGAACCAAACCAAAAUAGGAAAAUAUGAGAAUUGAACCAAACUGAAUAUAUGGAUAGAACCGAACUAUACCAAACUAAUUGCUUCAAUUUGGUUCGGUAAUUUGGUUUUUGAUUGCUCCUUCAGUCCCUCAUUCUCAACAAACACCGCAACAUAGGUAGAUAUUAAAUUCAUGGUCAAUUGCUCAUCAUCUCAAUAUCUUCAGCAACACAAAUCACCUAACAAUUACAAAUCAAAGAUUUAAAAUAAAUUAAAAAUGAACGAUCAACAACCCAAGUUUAUAAAAAAAAGUCAACAAUCAUUGAUAGAAAGCUUCUAGUAAAUCUAGAAAUUCAAUUAAAAACAAAUAAUAAUCAUAAUAAUGUACUUUCUUAGUUGCCUUUAGUCACAAAUCAAACAACCCCCUACAAAUUUCAAUUGAUAGUUCUAUAGACUUAAUACCUAGUAAAUUCCCAACCCUAAAUCCCUAAAUUUCCCAGAAAAAAUUUCAAUAUUGACAACAAAUGUCACUAGAGAGAGAGGGAGACCUUGAGGUGAGUUUGUGCAUGAUGGCCGAAGUACCUUUCUUUGCGCAAGUCAUGGAAGAAGCAGAGGGUAUCUGGGUCAUCAUAUUCGUUGUUCGUGAAAUCGGCAUCGAUGAGGAGUGAGGACCACUUCUUCAUGUCCGUAGUGGACAAAGAGUGAGGCCUCCUUUUUACCUGUGCUAUUGCCGCUUGGAAUCAUUUGCAAAAAUUGCUUUACAAGGUGGAGACUACGGAUCUGGGGAUGGCCAUAGGGGGAUUGGAAUAGGAUUUGCAUGAGUGUGAAUGGGUGAGGUAAAGGCAUGAUCUCAGUGAGUAGAAAUUUGGGAUUUUAAAUAUAUAUAUAUGAAGGUAGAACAAUGUGGCAGUGCUCAGUAGAAAAUUUGUCUGGUCGAUUAGUUAGGUUUUUUUUAAUUAAACUGAACCGGAAAACCUAAUUAAAUUGGUUAAGUUUGGUUAUUUGGUUAAAACUACUCUGCUUUGCCCUAGCUAUGUCAUAAAGGACACAUUGUGCUUUGCCUUGCUCUCCCUAGCUAAAAAAUCUGAAGAUUGGGUAACACGGCAUGGAUGGAAUAGAAAAAGGGAAACCUAGAAGGAAUAAUUAGUAGCUUGCAGUGAGAUGUUAACUAGCUUAUGAUCUUAAGAAGACAAAAAAAAGGAACAUCUGAUCCAUGAGAUUUAAAUAUUAAUUGGUUCAAUUCUACUACAAGUUUUGGAAUUCAUUUAAAAUGAAUUCUAACUAGAAUUCAUUUGAAAUGAG
rnacentral:misc_RNA from 1 species